rnacentral:rRNA from 1 species
UACGAAGGGGGCUAGCGUUGCUCGGAAUUACUGGGCGUAAAGCGCACGUAGGCGGCUUUGUAAGUCGGGGGUGAAAGCCUGUGGCUCAACCACAGAAUUGCCUUCGAUACUGCAUGGCUUGAGACCGGAAGAGGUUAGUGGAACUGCGAGUGUAGAGGUGAAAUUCGUAGAUAUUCGCAAGAACACCAGUGGCGAAGGCGGCUCACUGGCCCGUUACUGACGCUGAGGCACGAAAGCGUGGGGAGCAAACGGG